UAAAAAUGUAAUUUUUAAAACUAAAUAAUUAAUAGUUAUGGUCUUUAAAGUUAAAUAAUUUGGCGGUAUUUUAGUCUUUUCAGAGGAACCUGUUCUGUAAAUGAUAAUCCACGAUUAAAUUGUCUUAAAUUAGAAAUUUAUAUAUCAUCGUUAUUAAAUAUUUUUUUAGAAUUAAAUAUUUAUUAAAUAAUAUUUUAUUAUAAUUCAGAUCAUGGUAUAGUUUAUAUUUAAGUAGAAAUGGGUUACAAUAUUAAUAAAUUUAGAUUUUAAUUUUAAAAGUUAAUUGAAAUUGGAUUUGAAAGUAAUUAUUUUUUAAAGAUAAUGAUUAAGCUCUAAAAUAUGC
rnacentral:rRNA from 1 species